rnacentral:rRNA from 1 species
AGUAACGCGUGGGUAACCUGCCUCAUACAGGGGGAUAACAGUUGGAAACGACUGCUAAUACCGCAUAAGCGCACAGGAUUGCAUGAUCCAGUGUGAAAAACUCCGGUGGUAUGAGAUGGACCCGCGUCUGAUUAGCCAGUUGGCGGGUAACGGCCCACCAAAGCGACGAUCAGUAGCCGACCUGAGAGGGUGACCGGCCACAUUGGGACUGAGACACGGCCCAA